rnacentral:rRNA from 1 species
GAUCAUGGCUCAGGACGAACGCUGGCGGCGUGCCUAACACAUGCAAGUCGAACGGAGUAAAGCCCUUCGGGACUUUACUUAGUGGCGAACGGGUGAGUAACGCGUGAGGAACCUGCCUUUCAGUGGGGGACAACAGUUGGAAACGACUGCUAAUACCGCAUGACGCUUCUUGGGGGCAUCCCCGGGAAGUCAAAGAUUUAUUGCUGAAAGAUGGCCUCGCGUCUGAUUAGCUAGUUGGCGGGGUAACGGCCCACCAAGG